GGGCCCCCACCCGUCAUGUUCGCCCCCCACGAGGUUCGUCUGCUCCCCGCGAAAGUCUUAUCAGUUACGCCCGCCCUCGACCCAAUCCACAGGAAAGGGGGACAACACAAAGCCGACCACGCGCCACGAGCGCACGAGCACGAUUCAUCCGGUGCGUCGCGCGGCGGCUUCCAUCUCCGCGGCCGUGCUGACUUCGCCUCCAUGGCGUCCGUCUACACCGCGCCCCGCGCGCCGCUGCCCGCCACGGCCGCCUCCUUCCCCUCCUCGUCCUCGUCCUCGCGGCAGCUGGACCCCAACCCUAGCCGAUUCCUCGCCGCGCACCGCGGCCAGCGCCUCCUCCGCGUCCGCCGCCUGGCGGGCGCCGCGCCGACUCGCCGCGCCUCCGACGUCGCCUCGGUGUUCCGGUGCGGCGCGCGCAGCCCCGGUGCGGACCCCGGCGGCGAGCCACGCCGAGGCUGGGACGCUCUCUUCCACGAUGCCCUCCAGGGCGCCGUGCGGCGGUGGAGCGAGUACGUCAGGAAUUACUGGCCCUCCGCACACCCCUCGAAGGAGGCGGGCCUCGCGAAGGGAGCGGAGAGUUCUCACGAACUGGAGGAGAGAGGGCAGGGAGUGGAGGAAGACGGUGAGGAGGUGGACGUGGUGCAGGAAGCAGGGAAGUGGAGCUGGGAGAGGUGGAAGCAGCACUUCGCCCUCAUUCAGGAGAGCGAGCGCCUUGUUGAUGAACUGCAGCUACAACUCCGCACUGCUGUGUGUAGAGAAGACUAUAGGAGUGCCCACAAACUGAAGUUAGCUAUUGCUGCUACAUCAAGAAAUGAUACUGUCGGCAGAGCAAUAUCUGAGUUACAUAGGGCCAUAGAAGAGGAGCGCUAUGUGGAUGCAGCUUAUAUUAGAGACCACGCUGGUGCAGGACUGUUGGGAUGGUGGUCUGGGAUUUCUGGAAGUUUGUCUGAUCCAUAUGGUCUUAUAAUCCGUAUAAGCGCUGAACAUGGUCGAUACGUGGCAAAAAGUUACGAUAUCAGGCAGCUGGCUUCAGAUGGCCAUGGUUACCCUAUAUUCGAAAUUUAUUUUGCAGAGGCAAAUGGAGGAUACAACCUGCAGGCAGUGCAUCUGAAACCAGAUGUCAGUGAUUCGGACCAGUUGCAAAACAUGUUGAGUGGAAAACUAGAUGUCAACAAUAUAAACAUAUCUAGCAGUUCCUUAGGUGCUAAACACGAGGAACACGAUGAAGGCAUAAGCAUGGACGAUCAAAAUAGCGAUGAUAGUGAUGUUGCUGCUGGUCCAGCUGGUUUGAAAAACUUGUCAAAUGAUUCAACUCCAAUUCCCAGGAUCAAAAUAUUGAAGGUAGCGCCUAUGGAAAACAUCAACCAGGACUAUAUAAUUAAAAUAUUUGACCAGAUUUCAGAGGAAGAUGAUGACAAUGAUGAAGCUGAGAUCGAAAAUGAAUCUUCACAAGAUAUUGGCGAUGAAGAUAACAAUGAAGAAGCAGGAACAAUUUCUGCAGAAGAGAAUAAUGAUGAGUCUGGUGAGGAAAGUGAUAUUGAAGCAUUGUUAUCGAUUGGAAUUGAAGUUGAUAAUGAUAAGGAUUUUGCUUCACAGUCCUCACCUAAAACAUUUGAACGCAUGCCAGCUAAAUUAGACAAGAGAGACCGCUUUUCAUUUACCUUCUAUACUGAACAAUCCAGUAAAAAGCCAGCUGCAGAAAAGGCUCAGCAGAUUCCGAGGAAACGGGUUGGCUUCCGUACCACUGAGCAGGAUGGUGAUCUCAAGUUUGAUCGUUUAAAGUUGUCUGGGGGCAAUAGGAAACUACCGCAGGUACUACAACUUGGUAUUAAGCAACUUAAUAACAAGGUUCAGCCAAAACUAUAUGGAGUUACCCACUUCAGCCGUAUUCAGAUGCCCAUCUCUUCAGAUCCUCUUAGUGGUCUAUACGAGACUGCAUCUGGGUUUGACUCAGAAGUUCUUAGUUUACAACGGAAAUUCGGUCAAUGGCAGGAGGAGGAUUCAUCUGAGGAGCACUUGGAUCUUAAGUUUUAUGAGUAUGUCGAAGCUGCAAAAUUGACUGGGGACAAUCUUGUGCCAGCGGGUCAGGUUGUCUUCCGUGCGAAAGUUGGCAAACACUAUCAGCUUCCUCAUAAGGGGGUCAUCCCUAGAGAACUUGGAGUGGUUGCUAGGUAUAAGGGGCAAAGGAGAAUUGCAGAUGCUGGCUUCAAAAAUCCUCGAUGGGUUGACGGCGAGCUUUUGAUACUAGAUGGAAAGUUCAUCAGAGAUGGUCCUGUGAUAGCUUUCUUCUACUGGACAUCAAAUCUCCAUCUUUUUGAAUUCUUUAGGCGGUUGAGUCUUCCUGACUAGUUUCAUUUUAAGAGACGCAGUUCAAGUCCACGUUACAUUGUCAGGAGAGACAGCCCUUUAGGCGGUGCAAUUGAUGGAACGGGGCCUUGCUAGCCCAUUAUGCUUAUAUAAGUAGCUGCCGUGUCAUUGAUUACACAGUGUUGGACUGCUCUUCUUGACUGGUUGGUGCUUGUUGGAGGAACUGUCUAGCUCUGCCCUCAGUCCAAGAACCAUUGUGUUCCCAGAGACCACAUGAUCACAAGCUUCCAGUUGUUUGCCAUCUGACGGGAAGGACACUCCCAAAAGACCACCUGGGAGAUCCUUUGUACAGAAGCAAUUGACCGGUCGAUCUGUGGGAACCCAGGACAGUCCCCAGGACAUUCUGCAAUCACACAUGCUGAUGUACAGUUAACGGAGGUAAUGUACAUAGUUUACCUUUGGAGCAAAUUGGGCUUUCGCCGAGCAUCACAUUUUCCAUAUACGGGGAUCGUGGCGGAGAUGGCCCCACAGUAUGGUGGAUGAGAGGGUGAAGAAAUUUAUGACCAGAGAAAUAGCUCAAAUAGCCCACUGCCAACUUGAAUGGUGAGCAUUUCUCAUUCCACUUCUCUCAGCUGACCCACCCAAUUUACGAGUUGAGGCCAAAGACUUGCUGCAUUAGGAAGAGCCAACUUAUUUGGACCAGUCGAAUUGAAACACGUUAAAGAAAGUUAUGAGUGGUUUUUCAGUGUUUUCCUCGUGGCAUUCUUCAUACAGGAACCCUUUCGUGAAAUAUAAGCAACAAUUGUGUGCAGAUUGUCAUGUGGUGUAACUAAGGUCACUAUUAUUGGUUCCAGAAAAGUGGAGCGGAGCAUUAAACUGGUGUAUAUGUAUAAAGCUUAGUGCCCACGUAUUCAAGUAUGUUAACUCGCAA